rnacentral:rRNA from 1 species
UCUUACCAUGCAGUCGACGGUAACAGUGACUUCGGUCAGCUGACGAGUGGCGCACGGGUGAGUAAUAUAUAGUUAAUGUACCUUCAAGACUAGGAUAGCCACUGGAAACGGCGAUUAAUACUGGAUAAGCCUCUAUGACAUAAGUCAGCGAGGAAAACGUUUUUUCGCUUGAAGAUCAGACUAUAUCCCAUCAGUUAGUUGGUAGUGUAAGAGACUACCAAGACAAUGACGGGUAGCGGGUUUGAGAGGAUGAUCCGCAACACUGGGACUGAGACACGGACCAGACUCCUACGGGAGGCAGCAGUGAGGAAUAUUGCACAAUGGGGGCAACCCUGAUGCAGCAACGCCGCGUGGAGGAUGACGCAUUUCGGUGUGUAAACUCCUUUUAUAUGUCAAGAAAAUGACGGUAGCAUAUGAAUAAGCACCGGCUAACUCCGUGCCAGCAGCCGCGGUAAUACGGAGGGUGCAAGCGUUACUCGGAAUCACUGGGCGUAAAGGACGCGUAGGCGGGUUGGAAAGUCUGAUGUGAAAUCCUACAGCUUAACUGUAGAACUGCAUUGGAAACUUUCAACCUAGAGUAUGGGAGGGGGAGAUGGAAUUAGUGGUGUAGGGGUAAAAUCCGUAGAUAUCACUAGGAAUACCCAAAGCGAAGGCGAUCUCCUGGAACAUUACUGACGCUAAGGCGUGAAAGCGUGGGGAGCAAACGGGAUUAG